CCAGCAGGUUGCAAUUACAGUGCUUCAUUCUGUGGGAGUACUGCCAUUAUCCUGCUAACAGUAACCUGCUGCCGUGGAGUAACAACCUCCUCAGAGUUCCCAUAUGAUGAGGAUGCUCUGUGGCAGUGACAUAA